rnacentral:rRNA from 1 species
CCUACGGGCGGCAGCAGUGAGGAAUAUUGGUCAAUGGACGCAAGUCUGAACCAGCCAUGCCGCGUGCAGGAAGACGGCUCUAUGAGUUGUAAACUGCUUUUGUACGAGGGUAAACGCAGAUACGCGUAUCUGUCUGAAAGUAUCGGACGAAUAAGGAUCGGCUAACUCCGUGCCAGCAGCCGCGGUAAUACGGAGGAUUCAAGCGUUAUCCGGAUUUAUUGGGUUUAAAGGGUGCGUAGGCGGUCGGAUAAGUUAGAGGUGAAAUCCCGAGGCUCAACUUCGGAAUUGCCUCUGAUACUGUUCGGCUAGAGUGUAGUUGAGGUAGGCGGAAUGUAUGGUGUAGCGGUGAAAUGCUUAGAGAUCGUACAGAACACCGAUUGCGAAGGCAGCUUACCAGGCUACUUCUGACGUUGAGGCACGAAAGCGUGGGGAGCGAACAGGAUUAGAUACCCGUGUAGUC